AAAAUUAAUAAGUAAUGUGCUCGCGGAGGAUUUGAAUCCUCGUGCCUACGUGUUCUUACAGUGCAAUGAGAAAGUCAGAACUCCGUAGUUCAAGGACUAAUAUGGAACAAAGAAAGAAUUGAUUGGGUUGCAAAGAGGUAAAGCAAAUUUCUUGAAUAACAGGAGUGUGGAAUUAACCAAUGAGUGAUGUAUAGCCAAAAAGAAUUUGUGAAGGCAUGCUCUAAACCAAGGAUGCUACCAAAGUUUGAGACUCUACAAGGUAGG
rnacentral:lncRNA from 1 species